GGAGGAGGCCUUCCCUCAGCGGUGGGCUUCGGAGAAGAUGGCGGACGGCGGCGCGGGCAGCAACGGGGACGCCGUGGUCGUGGCUCUGCCCGUGGGGAAGGCGGCAGUGGACCGUAUGAUCCAGGACAAGAACCACCUGUUCACCUCCACCCAGUGUAAAGUGUGCAACGCCCUGCUCAUCUCCGAGUCCCAGAAACUGGCCCACUACCAGAGCAAGAAACACGCCAACAAAGUCAGGCGGUAUCUGUCCAUCCACGGCGAGGAGGAGUUUACCCAGGGGAAGAGGAUGAAGAUGGAUUCCUCACAGGACUUGGGAGAGGACAAUAGAGUGGGUAGACAAGAUCCCCGCCCUCAAGGGGCUUCCAGUCUAACGGGGAAGGCAGACUUUAAAGAGAGCGGCCGAGCCGAGGACAGGAACAAAUGCUGCCCUGUCUGUAACAUGACCUUUUCCUCGCCCGUCGUGGCCCAGUCGCACUACCUGGGGAAGACCCACGCCAAGAACCUGAAGCUGAAGCAGCAGCAGCCGCCGCCCCCCCCGCACCACACCGAAGCUCAGGCGAGGCUCCCCGCCAGCCCCAGCCCGGCCCCCGUCAGCACGCCCUCUCUCGAGGUGAGCCAGGAUCCGUCGUCCGACCCGGACCGGUUCUGCCGCCUGUGCCACGCCACCUUCAACAACCCCACGGUGGCCCGCCAGCACUACGUCGGCAAGAAGCACAAGAAGCAGGAGACGAAGCUCAGGCUGUUGGCUCACUACGGGCACAGCCCGGACUCCCCCGUGGCUUCUUCCGCUGGGAAGGGUUACCCCUGCAACACGUGCCACCUAGUCCUCAACUCCAUAGAGCAGUACCUCGCCCACAUCAGCGGCUUCAAACACAAGAACCAGACGCCAGGAGCAGGGCCGGCCCCAGGGCGCUUCGCCAGGCAGCAGUACGUGCAGGAAGAGCCGACCACCCCGGGAGGUUACAGCUACUUCAGCCAGGACUUCUAGAGCCAGGCGACGAAGCGCUUCUCCUCCCCGGACCUCAGCCGCCAGCCCGGAACACACGACUCCCGCCGACUGACGCCUGCCGCGCUCUCCGGACAGCGGGCGGCGGUCAGGCUUCCUAAACCGAUCCGGCUGGAGCUGGCCCCCUCGCCACGCCCCCUCCUCGUCAGGAGGGUCUCUCUGCCCCACCAGGAUUCGUUUGUGGCUGCUGGAAGAUCGGUCUCCCAGCUGGAGAACGGACACAAGGGCCGACUGAGGGGCUUUAGAGGGAGGAGGGGGCCCCUGCUAAUCCCGCGCUGGCCAGGCUGAGGUCCUCUGGCCACGAGGAGCCCGCGGCUGUGGGGCGGAGAGGAGGAGACCACCCCACACCCGCACCUCCACUCCUGAGGGGUCGCUGAGUUUUGCCCCCCUCCUCCUCAUCCGUUACCCUGCCUGCGUCGCGGCCAUUUGGGGGAGAAUGUGUCAAGCUGCCUGCUUUAGAGGAGGUUGCCCAUCAAGCCCCUCGGUCCCAGGGAGGCACCUCCCUGGGGCAUGGAGGGACAAAGAGCAUGCCCUUGGCCAUGGGGGCCCCUGGGGACACCGGCCAAGGCCCCGAGCGGGGGGCAACUGGGCACUGGGAGGGGUGGAGGCCCUGGCAGAGAUGGGUGGGUUCACUCAGUCCUGCUUGGCGCGAGUCUUUCAACAACAGAGCGUGUUUCCUAGAGCUGGC